CCUACGGGAGGCUGCAGUGGGGAAUAUUGCACAAUGGGCGCAAGCCUGAUGCAGCCAUGCCGCGUGUGUGAAGAAGGCCUUCGGGUUGUAAAGCACUUUCAGCGGGGAGGAAGGCGUUAAGGUUAAUAACCUUGGCGAUUGACGUUACCCGCAGAAGAAGCACCGGCUAACUCCGUGCCAAGCAGCCGCGGUAAUACGGAGGGUGCAAGCGUUAAUCGGAAUUACUGGGCGUAAAGCGCACGCAGGCGGUCUGUCAAGUCGGAUGUGAAAUCCCCGGGCGCAACCUGGGAACUGCAUUCGAAACUGGCAGGCUAGAGUCUUGUAGAGGGGGGUAGAAUUCCAGGUGUAGCGGUGAAAUGCGUAGAGAUCUGGAGGAAUACCGGUGGCGAAGGCGGCCCCCUGGACAAAGACUGACGCUCAGGUGCGAAAGCGUGGGGAGCAAACAGGAUUAGAUACCCCGGUAGUC
rnacentral:rRNA from 1 species